rnacentral:rRNA from 1 species
GAUGAACGCUAGCGGCAGGCUUAACACAUGCAAGUCGAGGGGCAGCAUAAAUAGUAGCAAUACUAUUGGUGGCGACCGGCGGACGGGUGCGUAACGCGUAUACAACCUUCCCUAAACAGGGGGAUAAUCUGGAGAAAUUCGGUCUAAUACCACAUAACAUCAGAGCAGGCACCUGUUUAGGUUAAAAUUUCCGGAGGUCUAGGAUGGGUAUGCGUAGCAUUAGCUAGUUGGUGAGGUAACGGCUCACCAAGGCGACGAUGCUUAGGGGGACUGAGAGGUUAACCCCCCACACUGGUACUGAGACACGGACCAGACUCCUACGGGAGGCAGCAGUGAGGAAUAUUGGUCAAUGGGCGGAAGCCUGAACCAGCCAUGCCGCGUGCAGGAUGACGGCUCUAUGAGUUGUAAACUGCUUUUGUACGAGGGUAAAGUGGGCUACGUGUAGCCUUUUGAAAGUAUCGUACGAAUAAGGAUCGGCUAACUCCGUGCCAGCCGCCGCUGUAA